rnacentral:rRNA from 1 species
CACCUACCAGCACCCAGGUCGUUACCAUCAAACGGGGCGAGAGAGAGAGAGAGAGAGAAGGCGGCAGCAGCAGCCAGCCGCAAGAAAGCUCUGUCGCGUGAGGCAAUUAGUAAAAAAAAAAGUCCCUCGCGUGCGACGAAGCCUCGAGACGCCGGGCCGAGGCGACGAGGCGGACAGCGAGAGGCGGACCGAGCGAGAGGAGAGAGAGAGGGUGCGUGUGUGCGGGGGGCGAACGGCCCGAAUCUCGCGAUCCCCAAAUCCGGAGGGCGUCGGAGGCGGCCGAUUCGGGCCGCUCCGGCCGCGGCGGCGGAGGCGGGGCUGCGAUUCGGGGGGAUUCGCCCGAUCGGGGAGCUCGCGGGCGGGAUUCGAGCUUGCGAUUCGGGGGGCGAGCGAGGCGGGCGGGCGGGCUGUGGGAGGUGGGCCCGGGCGGGGCGGUUGACCGGGGUUGUGUAGGUGGGGUGGGUGGAUGCUGUCCGUGCGGAGGCGGCAGGAGGAUGCUGGCGGCGCCGCCGGCAUGGCGGACCACGCCGAGCUGGAGGAGGGGGAGGCCUACGCCGACGACAUGCCCCCCUUCGACGACCCGGACGUCUCCCUCGCUUACAUUGAUGAAAAACUACAAAAUGUACUAGGUCAUUUUCAAAAGGACUUUGAAGGAGGCGUUUCUGCAGAGAAUCUAGGAUCAAAAUUUGGUGGAUAUGGCUCAUUUUUGCCAACCUACCAGCGUUCCCCCCUUCUGCCCCACACUAGAACUCCACCUAAGGUGGCAAAUGCUAGCUCAAGAUCUCCUUAUCACCAGUCUACUGAGGAUGUGUCUCAGAACCCUCCGGCUAUGGCCGUUCCAUCUGUUUCCCAGAAUAAUGGUUCUGUGGCUCCUUUUUCUGGUGAUUCAAUUAAAAAGGAAAGAUGCGAAAGCACAGCGUCUAAAAGGGGCUCUAGCACCCAUGAUCCUUCAAAUGGCCCAUCUAAGUCUAGCGACCAGAAUAGAUUUAAAGUACGGAUAAAAGUUGGUUCCGACAAUGUCUUGGCAAGAAAUAAUGCAGCUAUUUACAGUGGUUUGGGCCUUGACAUUUCUUCACCUUCAUCUGUGGAGGAAAGCCCUGAUGGCCACGGGGGCCUCUCCCCGGAAUUUAGCAAUGUGCAACUUGAAUCUCCCCGGACCAUUCUUCAGAUCAUGACAUGCUUUUCAGUUCCUGGAGGGUACUUGUUAUCCCCUCUUCAUGGCAGUUUGUUGCAACUGACAAAGAAGGUUGUGCCUUCAUUGAAGAAAUGGGAAACAAGCUUGGAGAUAGAAAAUGCACAGGAAGCAUAUGAAGGGCAUGUGGUUAAGAAAAUGAAGUCUGAUGGUAAGAAAAAGAAACCCACAGAUAUGAAGAGGUCAAAUAACAGAAACGAUGUCAGUGCAUUUAUGAAAAAUGAGAUCGAUGUAGAAACACUUGCUGGCCAGAAGAUUGCAUCAGAAGCUCUCAGCAUACCGUCUAGUCCCAGAGGCAUGGAUGCAAACAGCAAUUGUCAAUUUGAAGAAGAAGCAACAGGAAAAUCUUUGGAAAGAAACAAAGAUGAUCGAUUGAAAGAAUGGGCUGCAAACAGCAACAGCAAGACAAUCAAAGCUGAAACUGUCAAAGAGGAUACUACCGACUGUUUAGCAAGUGGUGGUUUUGGCAGCUCAGAAUUGGAACUUUCAGCAGCAAAGAAGGAGCUGAAACCUGUGACAGAAAAGACAGCAUUGACUUCAGAAGAGAUGAAUACAACCAGUGACACAGAUUUUCUGUUGGAUAGGAAACAUGAAAGAAAAAUAAAGCCUGAGAGUAAAAGCAAUCCUUCUGUCGUUAACUUUGAAGAAAACGCAGUUAUAGAUGAAAAAGCUCCUGCUGUUUGCAGAAGCAUGGAGAAGGUUACUAGCAAAGAGGCUUCACUUUAUGAUACAAAUGUGAAAAAUAACACCAAGAGUGAGGCCAAAAGAAUACACAGGGAACAAAAGAAGAAUGCUCCAACAUCUUCUGAUCUUCUGGAUGUUGACAAGGGUGCUCGUUCUUCUGCUGGAGUUAAAGAGAGGAAAAACGAUUCUCACUCCAAAUCUAGCCACUCAGGGAAGAAACCCAAAGCACAACCACAUAGAGAUGUCAGGGACAGUUUGGCAGAUGGAUCCCAUGGAUCCAAAGAGCAGGAUAUAUUGGAGAAUGGAGUUGAAUUGGGAGAGUUGCAGCCAAAGGAAAAAUAUUGGAUCAAAAGGGAUUCUGACAUGCUUGGGGCAUCAAAGAGGGAGAUUUCAUCUAGUGCAAAGCAUGACAGACAUACAGCUUCUGAGGAGCAGAAGAUGCAUGUACCUCCAUCUUCUGUAUCAACUGCAAAUGCAGCUCCUGCACUUCAAGCACCUGUCGUGAUAGAGGAACAUUGGGUACAAUGUGACAUAUGUCAGAAAUGGCGUCUCCUACCAUAUGAGUCGGAUCCUGAUACUCUUCCAAAGGAAUGGAAAUGUAGCAUGCAACUGUGGCUACCUGGGAUGAAUAGGUGCGAUGUUGGUGAGGAGGAGACUACAAAUGCUCUGAAUGCACUAUAUGUCAUUCCACCCCCUGCCAAUGGUAUUCCUUCAGUUGGUCAUCCUCAUGCUGCUUCUUCUGGACCGGCAACAGCCAACACGUUCAGUAUAAAUGGACAUGCUGAACAGAGUAGGAAAAGGAAGAGUUUUCCAGGUGAUGGAAGUGCUUUGGUUGACAGUUCUCACCCAACACAAGCUUCAGCUUAUUCAACGAUCACCCAACCCCCUCCUAGAGUUAGAAGUACUGCUGAUACUAACCACUAUCCUUCUGAGAGAGAUUCUGUGAGCAAAUCAGUUGACGUUUCCACUGAAAAGAAGAAGUCCAAGAGCAAGAAUCGUGGCAGCUAUUCUGAUGGAGGAGAUCUUGUGGAAAGAUCCAAGAAGCAUUCAAAAGGAAAAGGCAAGAGAGAGAUGGAUUAUGGUGAAUACAAAGCUUCUAAGAAAAUUAAAAAGGAGGAGCGGCAUCGUUCUAGCAGAGACCGGAACCCUGAAUGUGAUUUAGCUAGUGGAGACGUUUCUGAUGAGGCCAAGGCUUUUCUUGCAAAGGCAAAGAGUUUGGGUGAGAAGGGUGAUAUUUCUUCAUUGAAGCAAAAAAGUGUUGCGAGGUCUGAUCGUUUGGAGAAGUCCAAGAGAGACAAGGAUGAUGAUAUAGCUCUUCCUGAAGAUAGGAACAAGGAACAAUACCAAACCUCAGAUGUACAGAGAUCAGACGUUUCUAGCAAGAAGAGGAUAGUGAAGGAAUGGGAGGAGAGUCAGCAUAGUUCAAUAGCUCAGGUGAGCAGAGGAACCACAGUGAAUCACAGCUCUGCUGCCAAGGAAACCCAUAAGGAUCAAAACUUAAAGGAAACAAAGUCCAAGCCGAUAAAGUCUGAAGAACUGUAUUCCAUGACGGAUUCUAAAUUAGGAAAAGGUCUGCACUCUAAUCAGAUUUCUUAUUAUGGUGGUCAUGUAAACAAUGAACUUGUGGAGGAUAGCACACACUUUGCUGGUAAAAGAGGUCCAUCCGAAGUAUUAGAUAAGCGAUCUUCUGAACAUGCUUUGGACUUAGCUGGAGCCGCUUCUAGUGAUGUUCCGACCACAGCAAUAGCUUCAAGUUCUUCAAAAGCUUCAGGCUCUCAGAAAAAGAAAAAUAACUCCCAAGUUGCAAAGACUUCACCGAUUGAAUCAGUUUCCUCAUCACCACCGAGGAACUCUAACAUUGAUAAGUUCUCCCAGAACAGAAUAGUGGAGAAAGAUGGGCCUAUGAAUGCUAACCCAGGCACCAUGCCGAGCUCAGUAAAGUAUCUAAAUACUGAAGUUGAUAUAGUAGACAAUGUUCGGCAGGCUAAGAAGUCCAAGGAGAGUUUGCUUGCAAGUGAACCUGUCUUACAUGGCUCUUCACAAGGAAAUUCUGACAAAGAUGAUGAAUUAGUUCAGUUAACUCAAGGCCAUGCAUCCGAAAGGUUUUCAUUGAGAAAGGGUUUGGAUGAUGAUCAGCAGCAUGCAUCUGGGAGAAAGGACUCCACUGUGAAUGGCUCCAGCACAGCGAGGGGUUAUAACCACCUGCAUUCUGGUGAUAAAAAUAACUUGCGCACUGAUGGCUCUUUAGUGCAACCUAGGACUGCAGCUUCGGGCUCGAAAGGAGAUUUGAUUGCAAGUGAAAGUAAGAAAACUGCAGCUCCUAUUCAAGAUAGAAAUGGAUUAACUCAUUGUGCUCUGGAUGGAAAUCCUAAACCAGAGGUGCCAUCUGGAAAAGAUAAAUCUUAUCCCAAGAGUAACAAGCAAGAUAUGGAGAAGCCCAAAGCCCAAAUCGCUCCUUCACCUCUGAAAGAAACCCACUCCACUCCAGUAAAAUCUAAUGCGUCAAAAUUGACACCACAGUCAAGGCGAAGCAGUGAUGAAAAUGGAGGGCAACAGCGUGUUGCCAAACAGGGAACUUCAAAUCCUACGGAUGGGAAAGAUGGUAAUUCAACUGCAUAUGCUCUCAAAGAAGCUCGAGAUUUAAAGCACAAGGCUAACCGUUUGAAGAAAGAAGGAAAAGAACUUGAAAGCACAAGGCUCUAUUUUGAGGCAGCCUUAAAAUUUCUGCAUGUAGCAUCACUUCUGGAACCUCCUGGUAUUGAUGGUCUGAAACAAGGCGAUGCAGCUCAGAGCAUGUAUUCUGAUACUGCAAAACUCUGCAACUUUGUUGGUCAUGAAUAUGAAAGGUGCAAGAAGAUGGCCGCUGCUGCUUUAGCAUAUAAAUGUGUUGAAGUAGCUUAUCUCAAGGCUGCAUACUACAAAUACCCUAUUGCAAGUAAGGACCGGCAGGUGUUGCAGGCAGUUGUACAGACUACACCAGGCGAAUCACCAUCAUCUUCAGCAUCAGACAUUGAUAACUUAAAUAACAAUGGAUUAUCUAAGAUGGCCCCUUCAAACAAGGAUGCUAAUUCACCCCAAGUUGCUGGGAACCAUUUAUUACUGGCCGUUCGCAAUCAACCACACCUGACAAGGUUACUAGCUUAUACAAAUGAUGUCAAUUCUGCCUUUGAGGCAACUCGGAAAUCACAGAUGGCAAUUGCUUCUGCUGCUGGCAACCAUGAAAAGGGAGUGGAUGGUCUUUCUUCAGUAAAAACAGUUCUGGAUUUUAACUUCAGAAGCGUGAAUGAUCUACUCAGACUUGUGCGGAUUUCAAUGGAGUCUAUCAGCUGCUGAGAUCCCAGAACACAAGAACAUGACAUCCUUUGAGUAGGUGCUGUUGGAUGUGUGAUACUUAUACGGUUAUACCAUUUCACUGUCCCCAACGUGCUGGUAGUAUUUAGUGGAAAAGUUCAAUAGCGCAGAACACAUAGGUCUUAUCGUUUAGGCGUGCUGGUUUGUACAGGAAGUGUUUUGAGAUUCUACUUAUUUUGUUUCUUUAGUGGCGUUCCAUUCUCAUACAGUUGCUAGCAUCUACUUGGAUGAUGUGAACACUGAACAGUCUAGCAAGGCAGCCGAUGAUGGAUUUCAUUGCUCGACACUUGUGAUACUUUGGACAUUUUGGGUGGUAACUCUCAGAUUGCGUUUAAUAGGCAAAUGCACAAUAUUACCCGGAAUCGCCUACAUGCUGUAAAUUAUGUGGUCCCCACUGAGCUGAAUUAUGGUUAAAGAGUAUCUGUCGGUUUUCCUUUGAGCUGUUACAAGAUGACAGUGUUGGCCACUUAACAGUUUUGAUGGGGAGAGGACAUCAAUGUCAAUUAAUCUUGCUAAUUGAGAAAACAGCUAGUGGGCGUUUCUUUUCCGGUCUUUAUAUAGUGGCAUGUCUUCUGGAGAAAGUUCAAGCAGGUUUCAAAGAAGUAACCGCUUGGACCAUCACCUGUUGUGUAUGAGCAUUGUACAAAUUAUUUUUCAUGUACAAUAGGCUAACCCGUUUUUUCGUUAUCGAUACCAGACUGUCUGUACAUGUAUAACUCUAAAUCGCUUGGAUUCCGGCGAAGUUUUAGUCAUCCUUGUUCUCGCAAAUCUUGCCAGUUUCACAUUCGGUUGCUUAUGUUAAGAUAGUGUAGAAUUAACCUUGACCGAGAACGUUUUGCAGAAUGCAAGAUAAACCUUCUCUAUUCUGUACUCUGUAGCACCACCCAGUUCGAGUAAACUGAUGCGAGUCGCUGCCUUUUCU